GUAUAUAUAGCUCAAGUGGUAGAGCGCUUGCUUAGCAUGCGUGGGGUCCUGGGUUCAAUGCCCAGUACCUCCU
rnacentral:tRNA from 1 species